rnacentral:misc_RNA from 1 species
UGUGGGAGCUGGCUUGCCUGCGAUAGCGGUGGGACAGUUAUAUAGUUGUUGGCUGGCACACAGCCAUCGCAGGCAAGCCAGCUCCCACA